rnacentral:rRNA from 1 species
GGAAUCUUGGACAAUGGGGGCAACCCUGAUCCAGCGACGCCGCGUGGGUGAUGAAGGCCUUCGGGUUGUAAAGCCCUUUCACCGGGGACGAUGAUGACGGUACCCGGAGAAGAAGCACCGGCUAACUCCGUGCCAGCAGCCGCGGUAAGACGGAGGGUGCUAGCGUUGUUCGGAAUCACUGGGCGUAAAGGGCGCGUAGGCGGCCUGCUAAGUCGGACGUGAAAUCCCUCGGCUCAACCGGGGAACUGCGUCCGAUACUGGCGAGCUCGAAUCCGGGAGAGGGAUGUGGAAUUCCAGGUGUAGCGGUGAAAUGCGUAGAUAUCUGGAGGAACACCGGUGGCGAAGGCGGCAUCCUGGACCGGUAUUGACGCUGAGGCGCGAAAGCCAGGGGAGCAAAC